GCCUCUGUAGCUCAGGGGUUUAGAGCGUUGUGCUUGUAACACAAAGGUCCAUAGUUCAAAUCUGUGUAGAGGCU
rnacentral:tRNA from 1 species